UCCUAGCUUUCAUAUCUCAGUUUCUAACACUGCAUAGUUUCCUCAAUGCCUGCUUUUAAGCAUAGACAUAAAUCAAGACACAGACAUAUCAAGGCAAUUCAUCAUAAAUAAUCUGUCUUGUUUUUUAACUAAUCCUUUCAAAAAAGUUUUUACUGAAAAUAAAGCUUUUUUGGGGGAAACUAUAUUAUGAUAAAUUGCACAGGUACCACCUUAAUAUAAGUAACACUUCUGAACAGACAUGUAUAGGAUUGCCCUGCAAAACUUGCAGUUUUGGCCUUCAGAGUCUCACUUUAAUUAUAGCGUCAGAACCAUUUCCUGUACGUUCUGUUCUGCUGCUUCCAUGGAGUUACUGCAAUUUAGGGAAUGGAAGCCUGGAAUGCAAAGUCAGCUUUUAAAAAGCCACACAUAAUACUUCUGUGCAGCUUUAAAAGCUGAGUGCACCAGAAUUGCAGAACAUGAGCAGGGAAUGCCCAACAUACUAUGUAGACACUAUUUAGAACAGGGCCAACCAAUUGCACACAACCAGAAGUGCAGUCAUAGCGAUAUUAUCCCCCUGCCCCACAAAACAAGUGGUUGUAUGUUAAUCGAGUAAGAAAUAUUAAUAAUAAUAAUAAUAUCCGUUCCCCUAGCAGGGCUCCUGCAUUUUAGAAGCUCAAGCACAGCUUUCCUUUGUCUCAAUGAAAUAUGAAAAGGACUCUAUAUGAAAUAGAGUAAUGAAUAGAAGAUGCUAGUUUGCAUUCCACACUAUUUGAAGUCCUUUGUGAAUGGAGGAAGCCCUAACAAGCAAAGAACGUUCAUUAAAAACAAAGUCACUAAUGAAGCCAUGCUUGUGGUUCUGUACCAUCAGUGAUGCCUGGUAUGCUAUUCAUUAGACAGAGACCAUUAACAGCUGAUGCAAGGUGCCAUACAAGGGAGCAAGUGCUGACAACUACAAUAAAUAAAUAAAUCCACAGGCUAUAAAUAGCUCAUAUCUGAAGGAACUGAGGAAAUGGUAUCAGCUGCAUGGCAUUCUGAAUACUGCCACAGCUGUUAGGUUCUUUGCUCUGCUAGAGUGUAAAAAACUGAAGUUCAACAUAACAAUAAAGGAAGACAGAAGACA